GACGAACGCUGGCGGCGUGCUUAACACAUGCAAGUCGAACGGUGAAGCUCCAGCUUGCUGGAGUGGAUCAGUGGCGAACGGGUGAGUAACACGUGAGCAACCUGCCCCUGACUCUGGAAUAAGCGCUGGAAACGGCGUCUAAUACUGGAUACGAGAAGGGCCCGCAUGGGCACUUUCUGGAAAGUUUUUCGGGUGGGGAUGGGCUCGCGGCCUAUCAGCUUGUUGGUGAGGUAAUGGCUCACCAAGGCGACGACGGGUAGCCGGCCUGAGAGGGCGACCGGCCACACUGGGACUGAGACACGGCCCAGACUCCUACGGGAGGCAGCAGUGGGGAAUAUUGCACAAUGGGCGAAAGCCUGAUGCAGCGACGCCGCGUGAGGGAUGACGGCCUUCGGGUUGUAAACCUCUUUCAGCAGGGAAGAAGCGAAAGUGACGGUACCUGCAGAAGAAGCACCGGCUAACUACGUG
rnacentral:rRNA from 1 species